rnacentral:rRNA from 1 species
UGGGGAAUAUUGGACAAUGGACCGAGAGUCUGAUCCAGCAACUCUGUGUGCACGAUGAAGUUUUUCGGGAUGUAAAGUGCUUUCAGUUGGGAAGAAAAAAAUGACGGUACCAACAGAAGAAGUGACGGCUAAAUACGUGCCAGCAGCCGCGGUAAUACGUAUGUCACGAGCGUUAUCCGGAUUUAUUGGGCGUAAAGCGCGUCUAGGUGGUUAUAUAAGUCUGAUGUGAAAAUGCAGGGCUCAACUCUGUAUUGCGUUGGAAACUGUAUAACUAGAGUACUGGAGAGGUAAGCGGAACUACAAGUGUAGAGGUGAAAUUCGUAGAUAUUUGUAGGAAUGCCGAUGGGGAAGCCAGCUUACUGGACAGAUACUGACGCUGAAGCGCGAAAGCGUGGGUAGCAAACAGGAUUAGAUACCCUGGUAGUCCACGCCGUAAACGAUGAUUACUAGGUGUUGGGGGUCGAACCUCAGCGCCCAAGCAAACGCGAUAAGUAAUCCGCCUGGGGAGUACGUACGCAAGUAUG